CCCGGAUGUAUUCAGUAUAAUGUACUUGGUGCCGUGGAAGGCUGCUGCUAGCACGAACGGCCGUUAAAAGUAACUCGGUGGACUCCUUGAAGGUGCAGUGCUUGAAUUUUCCAGAAGAUAGCAGCAGUCAGCUGUGUGCAGUGAUCUCACCUCCAUCAAGCACCACUGCGGCAGCCCUCCCCUCCCUGAUGCCUCUGAAUAGAGGCUGAGAAUAGACGCAAGGCUGUUUCCAGUCAGAGCAGGAAUGCCUAUAUAUGGAGCGCCACGCCACGCUCAGCGAGCCGCAGAUUUCACCGGUGACCGACAUGAAGGAGCGCGCCGCGCGUCCCCGCGUCCUCUCCCGACUCCCAUCCGUCCGAUUCAUAAAGAGCUGCAGAGGAAACACGAGCCGCAGGAGCUGCAGUGUUGUUAAUCCGAUGACUCAGCCUCUGUUUCCUCUUCCGCCUUCACCGAUCCAGACUGGUAAUCGCCUCAAGGUGCAAAAACAAAACAAUCAAACACGAGUUUCAGCGGAAAAACAGAAAAAGAAGAAAGAGGAUGAGAAGAAAACAAAGAGUUUGUUUCAGGAAAACAUUCAGUCCCAUCUACUGAACCGAGUCAGAGAGGAAUCAGUUCAUUAACUCAGUUUACUGAAUCAGUUCAUUGAGACAAAAUUACCAUCAUCCAUCCA